AGAGUGAACGCUGGCGGUAGGCCUAACACAUGCAAGUCGAACGGCAGCACAGUGGUAGCAAUACCAUGGGUGGCGAGUGGCGGACGGGUGAGGAAUACAUCGGAAUCUACCUUUUCGUGGGGGAUAACGUAGGGAAACUUACGCUAAUACCGCAUACGCCCUUCGGGGGAAAGCCGGGGAUCGCAAGACCUGGCGCGGAUAGAUGAGCCGAU
rnacentral:rRNA from 1 species